rnacentral:rRNA from 1 species
UACGUAGGGUGCAAGCGUUGUCCGGAAUUAUUGGGCGUAAAGAGCUCGUAGGCGGUUUGUCGCGUCUGCUGUGAAAACGCGAGGCUCAACCUCGCGCCUGCAGUGGGUACGGGCAGACUAGAGUGCGGUAGGGGAGAUUGGAAUUCCUGGUGUAGCAGUGAAAUGCGUAGAUAUCAGGAGGAAUACCGAUGGCGAAGGCAGGUCUCUGGGCUGACACUGACGCUCAUGCACGAAAGCGUGGGGAGCAAACAGG